AACGAACGCUGGCGGCAUGCCUAACACAUGCAAGUCGAACGAGAUCUUCGGGUCUAGUGGCGCACGGGUGCGUAACGCGUGGGAAUCUGCCCUUUGGUUCGGAAUAACAGUUGGAAACGACUGCUAAUACCGGAUGAUGACGACAGUCCAAAGAUUUAUCGCCGGAGGAUGAGCCCGCGUAGGAUUAGCUAGUUGGUGUGGUAAAGGCGCACCAAGGCGACGAUCCUUAGCUGGUCUGAGAGGAUGAUCAGCCACACUGGGACUGAGACACGGCCCAGCCUCCUACGGGAGGCAGCAGUGGGGAAUAUUGGACAAUGGGCGAAAGCCUGAUCCAGCAAUGCCGCGUGAGUGAUGAAGGCCUUAGGGUUGUAAAGCUCUUUUACCCGGGAUGAUAAUGACAGUACCGGGAGAAUAAGCUCCGGCUAACUCCGUGCCAGCAGCCGCGGUAAAAC
rnacentral:rRNA from 1 species